rnacentral:rRNA from 1 species
CUGGCUCAGAACGAACGCUGGCGGCGUGCUUAACACAUGCAAGUCGAACGCGAAAGGGACUUCGGUCCUGAGUAAAGUGGCGCACGGGUGAGUAACGCGUAGAUAACCUGUCUUCAUGUCUGGAAUAAUACGCCGAAAGGGGUACUAAUACCGGAUAUUCUUGCUUUUCAUAAGUUAUGCAAGCAAAGGUGGCCUCUGCAUAUGCUACUGCAUGAAGAGGGUCUGCGUACCAUUAGCUAGUAGGUGGGGUAAUGGCCUACCUAGGCGACGAUGGUUAGCGGGUCUGAGAGGAUGAUCCGCCACACUGGCACUGGAACACGGGCCAGACUCCUACGGGAGGCAGCAGUGAGGAAUAUUGCGCAAGUGGGGAAACCCUGACGCAGCGACGCCGCGUGAAGUGAGGAAGGCCGUUCGGGUACGUAAAGCUCUGUCAAGAAGGAAAGAAGUGUAACAAUGGCUAAUACCUGUUGUUAUUUGACGGUACCUACUAAAGGAAGCACCGGCUAACUCCGUGCCAGCAGCGGC